ACCUUUAGCUAUUUUAAAGAUGUCAUGAUGAAUCUCAGAAGCUAAGCAGGGUCAGGUCUGGUUAGUACUUGGAUGGGAGACCACCCAGGAAUACCAGGUGCUAUAGGUG
rnacentral:rRNA from 1 species